rnacentral:rRNA from 1 species
UACGAAGGGGGCUAGCGUUGUUCGGAUUUACUGGGCGUAAAGGGUACGCAGGCGGCUUGUCAAGUUGGGGGUGAAAUCCCGGGGCUCAACCCCGGAACUGCCUCCAAAACUGGCAAGCUAGAGAUCGAGAGAGGUGAGUGGAAUUCCUAGUGUAGAGGUGAAAUUCGUAGAUAUUAGGAGGAACACCGGUGGCGAAGGCGGCUCACUGGCUCGAUACUGACGCUCAUGUACGAAAGCGUGGGGAGCAAAC